CCAGGGGCAGGGAGGAUUUGGUAAGGAAGCACCUGGGUUAGGGGAGUUGUUCAGCUGUUGGCUAUAUGUUGAAUGGUUUUGUUUGUGGGAAGGGGUGUUACUGGAGAUUCUUGGUGCCACCAAUAAGUGGUGCCCUGAAGAAAGCAUCUGAAGAUCCCAGGGGUGUCACUGGUUCUUUCCUGGGCUGUGGAGGCCGGGCAGCAGUUUACAGUGGGCUUUGCUAGUCAAACCUGUUCUCUGCAGUUUCACAGGGGUGUAAUUCCACUAAUUUACUCCUGAUCUAAAUGAGAUUCCUAAAAAAUUUCAAAUGGAGGUGCGGGACCUCUUGGAAAGCUGAGACAUGGUCUGCAGACGACAAGUUGAAAACCACUUAACUAGAUACUAGGGGACAAAAUAAGUUAGGAAUGUAGAGAGGAAGU